AGGCGCGUAGCUCAGCGGGAGAGCGCUACCCUGACACGGUAGAGGUCGGCGGUUCGACACCGCCCGCGCCUACCA
rnacentral:tRNA from 3 species